AUUGAACGCUAGCGGGAUGCUUUACACAUGCAAGUCGAACGAGUGGCGGACGGGUGAGUAAUAUAUCGGAAAGUGACCAGUAGUGGGGGAUAACUACCCGAAAGAGUGGCUAAUAACGCAUACUAUUGGAGCGGCCGAUAUGGGAUUAGCUAGGUGGUGGGGUAAAGGCUCACCAAGGCAACGAUCCGUAGCUGGUUUGAGAGGACGACCAGCCAAGCUGGAACUGAGCCACGGCCCAGACUCCUACGGGAGGCGGCAGUGGGGAAUUUUGGACAAUGGGGGAAACCCUGAGCCAGCCAUACCGCGUGUAUGAGAAGGCCUUCGGGUUGUAAAGUACUUUUGGCAGAGAAGCGGUAUCUGCAGAAUAAGCACCGGCUAACUCCGUGCCAGCAGCCGCGGUAAUUC
rnacentral:rRNA from 1 species